rnacentral:rRNA from 1 species
AACGUAGGAGGCGAGCGUUAUCCGGAUUUACUGGGUGUAAAGCGCGUGCAGGCGGUUGGAUAAGUUGGGUGUGAAAGCUCCUGGCUCAACUGGGAGAGGUCGCUCAAGACUGUCCGACUGGAGCGUGGUAGGGGAAGGCGGAAUUCCGGGAGUAGUGGUGAAAUGCGUAGAUAUCCGGAGGAACACCAGUGGCGAAAGCGGCCUUCUGGACCACGACUGACGCUCAGACGCGAAAGCUAGGGGAGCAAACGGG